AUUGAACGCUGGCGGCAGGCUUAACACAUGCAAGUCGAGCGGAUGAAGGGAGCUUGCUCCUGGAUUCAGCGGCGGACGGGUGAGUAAUGCCUAGGAAUCUGCCUGGUAGUGGGGGAUAACGUCCGGAAACGGGCGCUAAUACCGCAUACGUCCUGAGGGAGAAAGUGGGGGAUCUUCGGACCUCACGCUAUCAGAUGAGCCUAGGUCGGAUUAGCUAGUUGGUGGGGUAAAGGCCUACCAAGGCGACGAUCCGUAACUGGUCUGAGAGGAUGAUCAGUCACACUGGAACUGAGACACGGUCCAGACUCCUACGGGAGGCAGCAGUGGGGAAUAUUGGACAAUGGGCGAAAGCCUGAUCCAGCCAUGCCGCGUGUGUGAAGAAGGUCUUCGGAUUGUAAAGCACUUUAAGUUGGGAGGAAGGGCAGUAAGUUAAUACCUUGCUGUUUUGACGUUACCAACAGAAUAAGCACCGGCUAACUUCGUG
rnacentral:rRNA from 1 species